CUCUGACAUUCUUAUUCAUCAGUUCAAUCAACUGUUCUUGACGAUUGCAGUUCAAGAGAUGCACUGUGGGACAAAGCAUGGAAGUCAUUCUUCAUUGACCUCACCGAUGAACCCACAGAUACCCCAUGCCUGGAAGAAGCAACAGAAUCUGAUGGUUGUUCGGCUGAUGAAUUCUUUGGUAUUUUGGACACAAUUCACCAGUAUCAUCCGGACAACAAUGUAGAUGAAUUUGUUGAUGGCAUCCUGCGAUACCAGCAAUAUUUAACA